GUGGGCGGAAGCUCACUGUAGAGGUUACAAGCGAGUGCUCGUCACUCAACCAAUCACCUCGGGGAAGGUCUGAGACAAGAGCCAAUCGUUACCCUUGCAGGGUAUCACCUGAUGCGGGUGAGCGGGUGAACAGAAAACAUGGGCACGGUGGGCGGUAGUCGCAGGAGAAGCCAGAGUGUCGCACGUUACCAGCGGCACUCCGGUGGAUGUGAAGCCCACAGGCUUGGAAUCGCUCGCGGCUGGCGAAUGAGUGCGAUGUGUGAGGUGGGGCACAGCUCCAGAACCCAAUUCAGACUACUCUCCUCCCAC